UACGGAGGGUGCAAGCGUUAUCCGGAUUCACUGGGUUUAAAGGGUGCGUAGGUGGGCAAGUAAGUCAGUGGUGAAAUCUCCGGGCUUAACCCGGAAACUGCCAUUGAUACUAUUUGUCUUGAAUACUGUGGAGGUCAGCGGAAUAUGUCAUGUAGCGGUGAAAUGCUUAGAUAUGACAUAGAACACCAAUUGCGAAGGCAGCUCGUUACACGAAUAUUGACACUGAUGCACGAAAGCGUGGGGAUCAAACAGG
rnacentral:rRNA from 1 species